GCCGGAGGCCAUUGCUAUCGGUGUCCGAUUUAGCCAUGCGAGUCGCACGUGUAACGUGGCAAACGGCUCAGUAACACGUGGCCAAACUACCCUACAGACCGUGAUAACCUCGGGAAACUGAGGCUAAUAACGGAUAGCGCUCCCGAGCUGGAAUGCUGGGAGCGCGAAAGCUCCGGCGCUGUAGGAUGUGGCUGCGGCCGAUUAGGUAGACGGUGGGGUAACGGCCCACCGUGCCGAUAAUCGGUACGGGUUGUGAGAGCAAGAGCCCGGAGACGGACUCUGAGACAAGAGUCCGGGCCCUACGGGGCGCAGCAGGCGCGAAACCUUUACACUGUACGCAAGUACGAUAGGGGGACACCGAGUGCGAGGGCAUAGAGCCCUCGCUUUUGUACACCGUAAGGUGGUGCACGAAUAAGGGCUGGGCAAGACCGGUGCCAGCCGCCGCGGUAACACCGGCAGCCCAAGUGAUGGCCGCUAUUAUUGGGCCUAAAGCGUCCGUAGCUGGCCGUUCAGGUCCGUCGGGAAAUCCACUGGCUUAACCAGUGGGCGUCCGGCGGAAACCGUUCGGCUUGGAACAGGGAGACCAGAGGGGUACGUCCGGGGUAGGAGUGAAAUCCCGUAAUCCUGGACGGACCAUCGGUGGCGAAAGCGCCUCUGGAGAACUGAUUCGACAGUGAGGGACGAAAGCUGGGGUCUCGAACCGGAUUAGAUACCCGGGUAGUCCCAGCCGUAAACGAUGCUCGCUAGGUGUGUCGCAGGCUACGAGCCUGCGAUGUGCCGUAGGGAAGCCGAGAAGCGAGCCGCCUGGGAAGUACGUCCGCAAGGAUGAAACUUAAAGGAAUUGGCGGGGGAGCACUACAACCGGAGGAGCCUGCGGUUUAAUUGGAUUCAACGCCGGG
rnacentral:rRNA from 1 species